CUAACGUCCGUCGUGAAGAGGGAAACAACCCAGACCGCCAGCUAAGGUCCCAAAGUCAUGGUUAAGUGGGAAACGAUGUGGGAAGGCCCAGACAGCCAGGAUGUUGGCUUAGAAGCAGCCAUCAUUUAAAGAAAGCGUAAUAGCUCACUGGUCGAGUCGGCCUGCGCGGAAGAUGUAACGGGGCUAAACCAUGCACCGAAGCUGCGGCAGCGACACUAUGUGUUGUUGGGUAGGGGAGCGUUCUGUAAGCCUGUGAAGGUGUGCUGUGAGGCAUGCUGGAGGUAUCAGAAGUGCGAAUGCUGACAUAAGUAACGAUAAAGCGGGUGAAAAGCCCGCUCGCCGGAAGACCAAGGGUUCCUGUCCAACGUUAAUCGGGGCAGGGUGAGUCGACCCCUAAGGCGAGGCCGAAAGGCGUAGUCGAUGGGAAACAGGUUAAUAUUCCUGUACUUGGUGUUACUGCGAAGGGGGGACGGAGAAGGCUAUGUUGGCCGGGCGACGGUUGUCCCGGUUUAAGCGUGUAGGCUGAUUUUCCAGGCAAAUCCGGAAAAUCAAGGCUGAGGCGUGAUGACGAGGCACUACGGUGCUGAAGCAACAAAUGCCCUGCUUCCAGGAAAAGCCUCUAAGCAUCAGGUAACAUCAAAUCGUACCCCAAACCGACACAGGUGGUCAGGUAGAGAAUACCAAGGCGCUUGAGAGAACUCGGGUGAAGGAACUAGGCAAAAUGGUGCCGUAACUUCGGGAGAAGGCACGCUGAUAUGUAGGUGAAGCGACUUGCUCGUGGAGCUGAAAUCAGUCGAAGAUACCAGCUGGCUGCAACUGUUUAUUAAAAACACAGCACUGUGCAAACACGAAAGUGGACGUAUACGGUGUGACGCCUGCCCGGUGCCGGAAGGUUAAUUGAUGGGGUUAGCGGUAACGCGAAGCUCUUGAUCGAAGCCCCGGUAAACGGCGGCCGUAACUAUAACGGUCCUAAGGUAGCGAAAUUCCUUGUCGGGUAAGUUCCGACCUGCACGAAUGGCGUAAUGAUGGCCAGGCUGUCUCCACCCGAGACUCAGUGAAAUUGAACUCGCUGUGAAGAUGCAGUGUACCCGCGGCAAGACGGAAAGACCCCGUGAACCUUUACUAUAGCUUGACACUGAACAUUGAGCCUUGAUGUGUAGGAUAGGUGGGAGGCUUUGAAGUGUGGACGCCAGUCUGCAUGGAGCCGACCUUGAAAUACCACCCUUUAAUGUUUGAUGUUCUAACGUUGGCCCGUUAUCCGGGUUGCGGACAGUGUCUGGUGGGUAGUUUGACUGGGGCGGUCUCCUCCUAAAGAGUAACGGAGGAGCACGAAGGUUGGCUAAUCCUGGUCGGACAUCAGGAGGUUAGUGCAAUGGCAUAAGCCAGCUUGACUGCGAGCGUGACGGCGCGAGCAGGUGCGAAAGCAGGUCAUAGUGAUCCGGUGGUUCUGAAUGGAAGGGCCAUCGCUCAACGGAUAAAAGGUACUCCGGGGAUAACAGGCUGAUACCGCCCAAGAGUUCAUAUCGACGGCGGUGUUUGGCACCUCGAUGUCGGCUCAUCACAUCCUGGGGCUGAAGUAGGUCCCAAGGGUAUGGCUGUUCGCCAUUUAAAGUGGUACGCGAGCUGGGUUUAGAACGUCGUGAGACAGUUCGGUCCCUAUCUGCCGUGGGCGCUGGAGAACUGAGGGGGGCUGCUCCUAGUACGAGAGGACCGGAGUGGACGCAUCACUGGUGUUCGGGUUGUCAUGCCAAUGGCACUGCCCGGUAGCUAAAUGCGGAAGAGAUAAGUGCUGAAAGCAUCUAAGCACGAAACUUGCCCCGAGAUGAGUUCUCCCUGACUCCCUGAGAGUCCUGAAGGAACGUUGAAGACGACGACGUUGAUAGGCCGGGUGUGUAAGCGCAGCGAUGCGUUGAGCUAACCGGUACUAAUGAACCGUGAGGCUUAACCUU
rnacentral:rRNA from 1 species